UCUUUUCCUUGUGUGCCCGCCGCCGCGGUAAUCCGGAAGGUCCGGGCGUUAUCCGGAUUUAUUGGGUUUAAAGGGAGCGUAGGCCGGAGAUUAAGCGUGUUGUGAAAUGUAGAGGCUCAACCUCUGCACUGCAGCGCGAACUGGUCUUCUUGAGUACGCACAACGUGGGCGGAAUUCGUGGUGUAGCGGUGAAAUGCUUAGAUAUCACGAAGAACUCCGAUUGCGAAGGCAGCUCACGGGAGCGCAACUGACGCUGAAGCUCGAAAGUGCGGGUAUCGAACAGG
rnacentral:rRNA from 1 species